rnacentral:rRNA from 1 species
GUAGGUGGCAAGCGUUGUCCGGAUUUACUGGGCGUAAAGAGCGCGCAGGCGGUCGUUCAAGUCGCGUGUGAAAGCCCCCGGCUCAACUGGGGAGGGUCACGCGAUACUGAUUGACUCGAAGGCAGGAGAGGGUAGUGGAAUUCCCGGUGUAGUGGUGAAAUGCGUAGAUAUCGGGAGGAACACCAGUGGCGAAGGCGACUACCUGGCCUGUUCUUGACGCUGAGGCGCGAAAGCUAGGGGAGCAAACGGGAUUAGAUACCCCGGUAGUCCUAGCCGUAAACGAUGGACACUAGGUGUUGGUGGUAUCAACCCCGCCAGUGCCGAAGCUAACGCAUUAAGUGUCCCGCCUGGGGAGUACGGCCGCAAGGCUA